CCUACGGGAGGCAGCAGUGGGGAAUAUUGCACAAUGGGGGAAACCCUGAUGCAGCGACGCCGCGUGAGUGAAGAAGUCUUUCGGUAUUUAAAGCUCUAUCAGCAGGGAAGAAAAUGACGGUACCUGACUAAGAAGCCCCGGUGAACUACGUGUCAGCAGCCGCGGUAAUCCGUAGGGGGCACGCGUUAUUCGGAUUUAAUGGGUGUAAAGGGAGCGUAGACGGCAAGACAAGUCAGGAGUGAAAGCCCAGGGCUCAACCCUGGGACUGCUUUUGAUACUGCCGGGCUGGAGUGCAGGAGAGGUAAGCGGAAUGCCUAGUGUAGCGGUGAAAUGCGUAGAUAUUAGGAGGAACACCAGUGGCGAAGGCGGCUUACUGGACUGUAACUGACGUUGAGGCUCGAAAGCGUGGGGAGCAAACAGGAUUAGAUACCCCUGUAGUC
rnacentral:rRNA from 1 species